rnacentral:rRNA from 1 species
GACGAACCGCGCGAACGUUGUUCGGAUUCACUGGGCUUAAAGGGCGCGUAGGCGGACUCGCAAGUCUGUGGUGAAAGCCCCCAGCUCAACUGGGGAAGUGCCGUGGAUACUGCAAGUCUGGAGGAGGGUAGGGGCAUCUGGAACGCUGGGUGGAGCGGUGAAAUGCGUUGAUAUCCAGCGGAACUCCGGUGGCGAAGGCGAGGUGCUGGACCCUUUCUGACGCUGAGGCGCGAAAGCCAGGGGAGCAAACGGG